CGCAGCCCCGGCUCCUCCAGCGGGGACACGAGGAGGACCUCACAGCCGCCCACCUGGCUUCCCAGCCCAGCGCACUGUCCAGUCGCCGCGUCGUUUCCUUGGUAGGGGUGAUGGUGGUGCAGGUUCUGCUGGGUUUUCCCUCGAAAGACUCCGACGCCCCUACUGCCGCCUUCGCUCGGGUCCCCGGCAGCUUCCCCGGCGCCUGUCGCCACUCGCUGCGACCUCCUACCUCGCAGCUUGGAGAAAGUCCUGCGCAGAGGGUCAGCCAUGCCUGGUCGCCUCCCUCAGUUCACUGCCGUCGAGUGCAAGGGUGCUGCUGCUUGGCGGCGCCUCGAACAAGGCGGAGGCGGCGGCAAGGACAAGCGCAGCAGCUUGGAGCGCGGCUGGCUAGAGCACGCCAUGAUCUAGUUGGUCCUUGGGCGCCUCUCGCUCUCCGCUGCUGCUGCUGCUGCCGCUGCUGCUGCUCGCGCUCACAUACUUGGCAUAACUGAGCGGGGUGAGAGGGCGCUCUGCAAUGCGCAUGUCUUGCUGCCAGCAGCUGGGCUAAGCGCUCUUACGGGAGCAACACGCGGCCUUGCCUUCUUCUCGUUCCAGCCCCGAGGCUGCACAGGCUGGGCUAGGACGUCGGAGAACAACAGGAGAAGCCAGUUGGGUAUUUCUACCAUUCUAUGCCUUUUGGAAUCAGGAGGUAUCUAUAUAUAAUUGCUGACAUGAAGCCCAAAGAAAAGAAUAAGACUGAAUGAGGAUUCCCUAAUGGAACAUCAGAGAACUGCUCCACAGUUGAUCGCCCAAGAUACAUGGCUUUUUCGUGUGACAUCUUUUCCACCCUGGUUUCUGCAAGCUCUUUUGAAGCUGGCUAUAUAAGCAUCUUCAUCCUGAAGCCUCAGAAUGGAGAGGACAGGCAGGCAAUGCCAUUAGCCAGUCGGA